ensembl:misc_RNA Metazoa_SRP Metazoan signal recognition particle RNA
GCCAGGCAUGGUGGCACAUGCUUGUAAUCCAUGCUACCAGGGAGGCUGAAACUAAGGGAUCUCAUGAUCUAAGCUGCAGUGGGCUAUGCCAAUCAGAUGUCUCCACUAAGCUUGGAAUUAAUAUGGUGAGCCUCUGGGAACAGGGGGCCAUCAUAUUGCUUAAGGAGAGGAGAACUGGCCCAAAUGAGAACCAGAAGAGGUUAAAGCUCCCAUGCUAAUCAGAGUGUGAAUGGCCCAUGAGUAGCUGGCCCAGGGAGGGAGAGAAAGAAAGAAAAAU